rnacentral:rRNA from 1 species
ACUUGGUUAUCCUGCCAGUAGUCAUAUGCUUGUCUCAAAGAUUAAGCCAUGCAUGUCUAAGUAUGAACUAAUUUAGACUGUGAAAUUAUGAAUGGCUCAUUGAAUUAGUUAUAGUUUGUUUAACAGUAUCUACUAUUCAGAUAACUGUAGUAAUUCUACAACUAAAGCAUACAACAAACCUCUACUUUUGGAAAGGAUGCAUUUAUUAGAUGAAAGGUCAACGUGGGCUUUGCCCUUUGCUUUAAUGAUUCAUUAUAACUUGACGGAUCACAUGACCUUUGUGCCAACGAUGCAUCAUUCAAAUUUUUACCUUAUCAACUUUUGAUGGUAGGAUAGUGGCCUUCUAUGGUGGUGAUCGAUGAUGGAGAAUUAAGGCUCGAUUGUGAAGAGAGAACCUGAGAAAAGGCUAACACAUCCAAAAAAAGUUGCAAGCGAAAAAUUACCCAAUCUUGACAUAGGGAGGUUAUGAUAAUAAAUAACAAUACCGGGCUCUAUGAGUUUAGUAAUUGAAAUGAAUACAAUUUAAAUCCCUUAAUGAGGAUCCAUUGAAGGGCCAUCCAUUGGAGGGCAAGUCUGGUGCUAGUAGUCACGGUAAUUCUAGCUUCAAUAGCAUAUACUUAAGUUAUUUUUUGUUAAGAAACUCAUAGUUGAAACUAGGGUUAGGUCAUUUGAUCCACCUCACGUGAACACCAGUCCACUUGUUUUUAUAACCAACGAUGUGCUCUUGACCUUAACUAGCCAAGUCAUUCCUCUGAUGAUGUUACUUUGAAGAAAUUAGAGUGCUUAAAGUAGGCCUAUGUUUGUAUACAUUAGCAUAGGAUAACAUUAUAGGACUUUUGUGCUAUUGUGUUGGCCUUUGGGAUCAGAGUAUUGAUUAACAGUGACAGUUAGGGGCAUUCGUAUUUUAUAGUCAAAGCUAAAAUUCUUGGAUUUAUGAAAGAUGAACAACUGCGAAAACAAUUUACCAAAGAUGUUUUCAUUAAUCAAAAUUGAAAGUUGGGGGCUAAAAGUUGAUCAAAUACCAUCCUAGUCUCAACUAUAAAUGAUGCCAACUAGGGAUCAAUGAAUGUUACUUUUAGGACUCUGUCGACACUUAUGAAAAAUCAAAGUAUUCGGAUUCUAGGGGUAGUAUGGUUGCAAGGCUGAAACUUAAAGAAAUUGAUGAAAGGGCACCACUAGGAGUAGAGCUUGUAGUUUAAUUUGACUCAACACAAGGUAACUUAUAAGGUCCAAAUAUAGUAAGGAUUAACAUACUGAAAGCUCUUUCUUGAUUCUAUAAGUGGUGGUGCAUGGUCGCUCUUAGUUGGUAUAGCGAUUUGUCUGCUUAAUUCUAUUAACGAAUGAGACCUCAACCUAUUAACUAGCUACGAGGAGAUGAUCCUCCAUGGCUAGCUUCUUAAAGGGACUAUGGCUGCUUAGACUAAGGAAGUUUAAGGUAAUAACAAGUCUAUAAUGCCUUUAGAUGUUUUAGGCUGCACAUGUGCUACAUUGAUGUAUUCAAUGAGUCUAUAGCCUUGGCCGAUAGGCCUGAGUAAUCUUUGAAAUUUCAUAAUGAUAAGCAUAGAUCAUUGCAAUUGUUGGUCUUCAAUGAGGAAUUCCUAGUAAGUGCAAGUCAUCAGUUCACGUUGACUACGUCCCUGCCUUUUGUACACGUCGUCUAUCGCUUCUACCAAUUGAAUGGUUUGGUGAAGUGUUCAAAUUAUAGCGAUAUGGACAAUUCACUACCUGUGAUGUUGCAAGAAGUCCACUAAACCUUAUCAUUUAGAGGAAGGAAAAGUCAUAACAAGGUUUCCAUAAGUGAACUUGCAGAAG